GGCAGGUGUAGUGGUACACACCUGUAAUCCCAGUGCCUUAGGAGGCUGAGGCAGGAGGAUCACAAGUUCAAGGCCAGCCUCAGCAAUUUAGCAAGCAACCUAGUGAGACCCUGUCUCAU
rnacentral:sRNA from 1 species